AGGACGAACGCUGGCGGCGUGCCUAAAACAUGCAAGUCGAACGGGGUCCAUCCUUCGGGAGAAGACCUAGUGGCGAACGGGUGAGUAACACGUGAGAAACCUGCCUUGAAGUCUGGGAUAAGCCAGGGAAACUUGGUCUAAUACCGGAUAUCUUCAACACUUCUUAUGGUGAGUUGAAGAAAGUUUUUCGCUUCAAGAGGGUCUCGCGUCCUAUCAGCUUGUUGGUGGGGUAAUGGCCUACCAAGGCUUCGACGGGUAGC
rnacentral:rRNA from 1 species